rnacentral:lncRNA from 1 species
CUUACAUCCGCCAGAUGAUCAUGUUUUCAAAAAAGAAAAUUUUAAAAAUGAAAUUCAGUAAGAAGAAUAAAGCGUAAAUGGCAGUCGACGGUCAAAUAUAAAUAUAAGGUUUAUGAAUUAUAGUGUUGGAUUUCAAAUCUGACCCUUUCAUGAAAGUUGUAAAGUUUGUCAUUAUGAGUGAUUGUAUAUAUUUUUUACAUUUUUUACAGUUCUACAAUAAUUAUUAUUAAUUUUACCCUCAAAUAAAAAAUAUUAUUCAUGACGGUUUGGAGGAUUUUAAAAAUCUAAACGAUAAUGUAAGUGCAACCAUUAUUUAUUCGUGGAGGAAUAAUGAUGAAUCAUGUAUGUUUAUAUAUUCUUUCACAUUUUUCGUACGAGUAUGUAUGUCUUCUUAGUUCUUGUUUAUACAAAUACUAUAUUAGUUUAUUUUAAUUUUGGACAACAUCAUGUUAAGUAAAAUUUAUCAUAGUAAUGAUAUUAAAGAACUCUCAUAAUAAAAAUAAAUAAUGACUAAAACUUUGUUUUUAAAACUUAUAUAGAAUAAUAAUACAAAACUAUAUAUUUAAUAUAGAAUAUAUUGUAUAUAUUAAUAUGGCUAUUGUAUUUUAUAAUAAUUUUUUACUAAUUAAACUUUAAAAUUAUCAAAAUAAAUUUUUUCUUAACGGGUCGAAAUGGGUUACCCACGUGUUACUCGCGUGUAUACCCGUUAAGAACCCGUUAACCGUUAUUUUUGUGUCGUUUUCAUACUGUGUCACCGUGUCGUGUCAGAAACUGCCGGAUCUAAUAGAUAGUGAAGCUACAGGUAAUUGAAAAAUAUUUAGUGGUGUGGUUACCAAAACAAUUGAGAGAGUAGUUAUAUUUUAUUUAAAUAUUUGUUUAGUACAAUCUAAAAGAUAGCCGCUCAACCAUUUUUCAAAACAAUGCUAUUGUAAUUAUCUUCUUUUGCUUUAAAGAACUUUCUUUACCAAAGCUGUCUUUCAAACUAACCCACUGCACAAGAAAACAAGGUUGGUUGUACUCAAAGAAUCUAUAUGCGGCGAUCACAGGAACCUUAUCUGAUUACUAUAUUAUGUUGGCCGCAACUGUGAAACAAUCACUCUGGACAAAAAAGGUUCCAUUCCAAAUAAAAAUUCUGGAAAAAGGAAUGAGCUCGAGCCCGUGAAAAUAAAGCAGUGCCACAUGUCAACAGUCUUAUGCAUGACGCGCUUAUAGUUUGUCUUACAAAACUCUAAGCAAAAAUCUAACCAUUAAAAUGUUAAAGUAUUGCUCCGGAACUAUAUAAAAAUUUCUGCCAACACACCAGUUUUCCCUUAUGUAGACGAUGCGACUGUUGUAAAUUUUUUGACAUACAUUCUAUUAUACGUAAUGCUAGGAAGAUUAAAUUUAGAGAUAAAUUUUUAAAAAUUAAAAGACAUAGAAGUUAAUUAUUGGUUUAUUACUUAAACAUUGAUAAACGUGUUUAUUUCUAUUAGUGACACAUCGUUUAGUUUGCAAAUUUAGUUUCUCUAGCAUUAUUCUUCUAAUAUAUGUGUAGAAGUUGUGUAAAUUCUAAGUAGAGAUAAAUUAGAAAUCCUUUGGGAUAUUAAAGAUCUUUCCUAUCAAACUUUGCAUUACUUGAAGAGCAAGUUUAUCUCCUAAUUAUUACCAUAAAUAAAGGCAUAAGGUUUGCUGAAUAACACACAUAAUUCUUCAAGCCCUCUUCUCCAUCUCCCUUCUCUAUGUUGUGCAUCCCCUCUCUUUCCUUCAGUUAAUUAUAGGCCACAACACGUUAUCAUCAUGCUAUUAACGUUGCAAUGACGAGAAUUCGAUCAUCUUCAAUCAAGAGAAUACCAUGUUUCAAUUAUUAUUAUUUGAUUAUUUUAUCGAGUUCAUAUACUUUUAUUUAUUCAAUUUAUUUUUCUUGCGUUGAUGUGAUACACGUUCUAAAGAUCAAAAUUUUAAAUCCGGAGGAGCAACUCUUACAAACCCGUUCACAAUAUUCAUCAUGCAAUCCAGGUUCUUCCAAACCAAUGGUGUUUAUCUCGGUGUUUUUUUAACCUUAAUUGCAUGAGCAUUCACCAUAAUGCAUCACCUAACUUUAAGUUUUACGAAUUUUAAAUUCUAUAUAAAGUGUGCAUGCCUUAUACUCAAAAUAUUGCCAUAUUAUGUGAAUCUCUACUAAUUAAUAAAACAUUCAUUGUCAACCAAAACUCUAUGAAAUUACCAGUUUAACCCUCUAAUUAAAACAAAACAUGAAUAAGAAAUGUGGGGCAAAAAUGUAAUUUCACACAACCAAAUUUUGUUUU